GACGAACGCUGGCGGCGUGCUUAACACAUGCAAGUCGAACGGAAAGGCCCUGCUUUUGUGGGGUGCUCGAGUGGCGAACGGGUGAGUAACACGUGAGUAACCUGCCCUUGACUUUGGGAUAACUUCAGGAAACUGGGGCUAAUACCGGAUAGGAGCUCCUGCUGCAUGGUGGGGGUUGGAAAGUUUCGGCGGUUGGGGAUGGACUCGCGGCUUAUCAGCUUGUUGGUGGGGUAGUGGCUUACCAAGGCUUUGACGGGUAGCCGGCCUGAGAGGGUGACCGGCCACAUUGGGACUGAGAUACGGCCCAGACUCCUACGGGAGGCAGCAGUGGGGAAUAUUGCACAAUGGGCGGAAGCCUGAUGCAGCAACGCCGCGUGCGGGAUGACGGCCUUCGGGUUGUAAACCGCUUUCGCCUGUGACGAAGCGUGAGUGACGGUAAUGGGUAAAGAAGCACCGGCUAACUACGUGCCAGCAGCCGCGGUGAUACGUAGGGUGCGAGCGUUGUCCGGAUUUAUUGGGCGUAAAGGGCUCGUAGGUGGUUGAUCGCGUCGGAAGUGUAAUCUUGGGGCUUAACCCUGAGCGUGCUUUCGAUACGGGUUGACUUGAGGAAGGUAGGGGAGAAUGGAAUUCCUGGUGGAGCGGUGGAAUGCGCAGAUAUCAGGAGGAACACCAGUGGCGAAGGCGGUUCUCUGGGCCUUUCCUGACGCUGAGGAGCGAAAGCGUGGGGAGCGAACAGGCUUAGAUACCCUGGUAGUCCACGCUGUAAACGGUGGGUACUAGGUGUGGGGUCCAUUCCACGGGUUCCGUGCCGUAGCUAACGCUUUAAGUACCCCGCCUGGGGAGUACGGCCGCAAGGCUAAAACUCAAAGGAAUUGACGGGGCCCCGCACAAGCGGCGGAGCAUGCGGAUUAAUUCGAUGCAACGCGUAGAACCUUACCUGGGUUUGACAUGGAUCGGGAGUGCUCAGAGAUGGGUGUGCCUCUUUUGGGGUCGGUUCACAGGUGGUGCAUGGCUGUCGUCAGCUCGUGUCGUGAGAUGUUGGGUUAAGUCCCGCAACGAGCGCAACCCUUGUUCACUGUUGCCAGCACGUUAUGGUGGGGACUCAGUGGAGACCGCCGGGGUCAACUCGGAGGAAGGUGGGGAUGACGUCAAGUCAUCAUGCCCCUUAUGUCCAGGGCUUCACGCAUGCUACAAUGGCUGGUACAGAGAGUGGCGAGCCUGUGAGGGUGAGCGAAUCUCGGAAAGCCGGUCUCAGUUCGGAUUGGGGUCUGCAACUUGACCUCAUGAAGUCGGAGUCGCUAGUAAUCGCAGAUCAGCAACGCUGCGGUGAAUACGUUCCCGGGGCU
rnacentral:rRNA from 1 species